rnacentral:lncRNA from 1 species
GAGCAGGGGCUGAUGGUGGCACAGGGGCCACUGCAUCCUCCCCGGGGUCACUGCUUGCCAGUUCAAGCAGUGCUUACACAGCCGAAGGGGCUACAACCUCAGCCAGGGGAGGAAGCCUGCCCGACACUUCUGUCACCAGCACACCCAGCUCAGUGAUGGCCACCAGCAGUGGGAACAUGACCACAGAGCCCGUGGUAGACACCAGUGCAGGCAGCUCUGCUCCGGCUCCAUCUGGCACCAGCUCCCUGGAUGUGGUCCUUCUGCUGUCUUCUGUGACAGAGCCAGGCAGGCAGGGAGGUGUCUCACAGCGUGAUGCUGGCCUCAGUGAGCUUCCAACGAAGCCGCUGCCCGUGUUUCCUCCUGGUGUUUCAGUGCCUUCAUCCUCACCAAGUUCUUCAGGUG